rnacentral:lncRNA from 1 species
GCUCUGGAUAAGGGCGCCUGGUAAAUGCUGUACAUGUAAAUGAAUGUUGCAAGGCCACUUCAGGAAAAAGGUGGAACUUUGUCACACUCCCCUCCUCAAUUUUCAACUUUUUUCUCCCCUCAGUCACCCACUACAGUCCCAUCUCAAACUCCCCAUCGUUUGAGAAACCUCUAGAUGGUUUUGUGAGGAGGAGGGACAGCGGGUGUCCCUCAUUGGUCCGGACCGAUCGCGCGUUUCCUUGUCGAGCGGGACUCGCAGGUCUUCGGCGAACCUGGUCACGGGGAGAAGCGGCUUCCUUCGCCGGCUCCGUCGCGAUGGCUGCGAACGCAGGUGCAUUAGCCCAUCUCUUGAUCAUCAUCUCGGUCCUCGUUCAUCAUCCCUCCCUGGCAGCGUGGUGUGUGGGAACGCUUCAGAGCGAUGGCACGUUCUACUUCUACUUCAACACGUCAUCCAUCAGCUCUCCCGAAACAAUGGGAUUACACUGUGACAGAGCAGUGGUCAUCAACGGUGUCAACAGUGCGGACAUUAAUGAAAAAACAUGUCUGCUACCAGUGAAGCAUGUUGAAUUUGAUUCCUUCAGCCUGUCCUACUGUCCCUCUGAAGUGACCAUACGGAACACCUGCCCUACCGUUGACGUCCAUAAUGAAAUACGUUGCUCAUGUAACAACGUUACCCAACCAGUCACUUCCGGACAAACUGAUGGCAGUGAUUCUAGUCCAAGCAAGAUCAGUAGUGGUCAUCUGAUCAAGAUUGUUGUGUGUGAGUGUUUUUUUCUUGGUUGUCUAUGAAUCAUGGAAUUAAUACCUCACUCAUACCUCACACACACAUCGACAAUGACAGGGUCAACAAGAUCCCAUUUAAAGGAGGGAAAACGAGUGAAGGGAAUCGAGAAGGGGCGGGGUCAGCACUCAUUGCCUACUGCUGUACGCCGAGGGGUAGCAUUGUUACACAAUAUCUGACUGGUUUGCACAAUGUUGAUUGUAUUAAAGUGUAAAGUGAAGUGGUUGUCAUUGUGAUACACAGCAGCACAGCACACGGUGCACUUUUGCUUUCUUUAACUGCUAGGCCACCACUGCCCCUAAUCUGUUAUUUAUGCUUGUUGAAAAAAAUAAAAACUUUAAAAACUAUUAAAUCUGAUUUUGC